GACCUCGAAAGAGCAAAGUGGGGGAUCUUCGGACCUCACGCCAUCGGAUGUGCCCAGAUGGGAUUAGCUAGUAGGUGAGGUAAUGGCUCACCUAGGCGACGAUCCCUAGCUGGUCUGAGAGGAUGACCAGCCACACUGGAACUGAGACACGGUCCAGACUCCUACGGGAGGCAGCAGUGGGGAAUAUUGCACAAUGGGCGCAAGCCUGAUGCAGCCAUGCCGCGUGUGUGAAGAAGGCCUUAGGGUUGUAAAGCACUUUCAGCGAGGAGGAAGGCAUCACACUUAAUACGUGUGNUGAUUGACGUUACUCGCAGAAGAAGCACCGGCUAACUCCGUGCCAGCAGCCGCGGUAAUACGGAGGGUGCAAGCGUUAAUCGGAAUUACUGGGCGUAAAGCGCACGCAGGCGGUUUGUUAAGUCAGAUGUGAAAUCCCCGAGCUUAACUUGGGAACUGCAUUUGAAACUGGCAAGCUAGAGUCUUGUAGAGGGGGGUAGAAUUCCAGGUGUAGCGGUGAAAUGCGUAGAGAUCUGGAGGAAUACCGGUGGCGAAGGCGGCCCCCUGGACAAAGACUGACGCUCAGGUGCG
rnacentral:rRNA from 1 species